rnacentral:rRNA from 1 species
UGACGGAGCAACGCCGCGUGAGGGACGAAGGCCUCUGGGCUGUAAACCUCUUUUCUCAAGGAAGAAGACAUGACGGUACUUGAGGAAUAAGCCACGGCUAAUUCCGUGCCAGCAGCCGCGGUAAU